UACGGGGGGAGCAAGCGUUGUUCGGAUUUACUGGGCGUAAAGGGCGCGUAGGCGGUCAGCACAAGUCAGUUGUGAAAUCUCCGGGCUUAACCCGGAAAGGUCAACUGAUACUGUGCGACUAGAGUGCGGAAGGGGCAACUGGAAUUCUCGGUGUAGCGGUGAAAUGCGUAGAUAUCGAGAGGAACACCUGCGGCGAAGGCGGGUUGCUGGGCCGACACUGACGCUGAGUGCGCGAAAGCUAGGGGAGCAAACGGG
rnacentral:rRNA from 1 species